GACGAACGCUGGCGGCGUGCUUAACACAUGCAAGUCGAACGGUAAGGCCCUUCGGGGUACACGAGUGGCGAACGGGUGAGUAACACGUGGGUGAUCUGCCCUGCACUUCGGGAUAAGCCUGGGAAACUGGGUCUAAUACCGGAUAGGACUCCUGCCUGCAUGGGUGGGGGUGGAAAGCUUUUGUGGUGUGGGAUGGGCCCGCGGCCUAUCAGCUUGUUGGUGGGGUGAUGGCCUACCAAGGCGACGACGGGUAGCCGGCCUGGGAGGGUGACCGGCCACACUGGGACUGAGAUACGGCCCAGACUCCUACGGGAGGCAGCAGUGGGGAAUAUUGCACAAUGGGCGCAAGCCUGAUGCAGCGACGCCGCGUGAGGGAUGACGGCCUUCGGGUUGUAAACCUCUUUCAGCACAGACGAAGCGCAAGUGACGGUACGUGCAGAAGAAGGACCGGCCAACUACGUGCCAGCCGCCGCUGUAA
rnacentral:rRNA from 1 species